rnacentral:tRNA from 1 species
GCGGGCGUAGCUCAGUUGGCUAGAGCGCAACCUUGCCAAGGUUGAGGUCGUGGGUUCGAGCCCCAUUGCCCGCUCCA